UGGGGAAUAUUGCACAAUGGGGGAAACCCUGAUGCAGCGACGCCGCGUGAGUGAAGAAGUAUUUCGGUAUGUAAAGCUCUAUCAGCAGGGAAGAAAAUGACGGUACCUGACUAAGAAGCCCCGGCUAACUACGUGCCAGCAGCCGCGGUAAUACGUAGGGGGCAAGCGUUAUCCGGAUUUACUGGGUGUAAAGGGAGCGUAGACGGCGGUGCAAGCCAGAUGUGAAAGCCCGGGGCUCAACCCCGGGACUGCAUUUGGAACUGUGCUGCUAGAGUGUCGGAGAGGCAGGCGGAAUUCCUAGUGUAGCGGUGAAAUGCGUAGAUAUUAGGAGGAACACCAGUGGCGAAGGCGGCCUGCUGGACGAUGACUGACGUUGAGGCUCGAAAGCGUGGGGAGCAAACAGG
rnacentral:rRNA from 1 species